UCGGAUUUGGAUACCUAAGACAGGAGGAGUCAGAGAUCUUCUGAUGGAAGAAGCUCACAAAACCAUGUACUCGAUUCAUCCGGGUAGCACUAAAAUGUAUAGGGACCUGAAACCCUACUACUGGUGGCCGACGAUGAAGCUUGAUGUUGCAAAGUAUGUGGCCGAGUGUGUGACUUGUGCGAGAGUCAAGACACAACAUCAGAAAUCAUACGGAAGUUUAGAACCCUUACCUGUGCCCAUGGGUAAAUGGGAAGACAUUGCUAUGGAUUUUGUCACUAAACUACCAAGAACAAAAAGUGGUCACGGCAUGAUUUUGGUGGUCGUUGAUCGAUUCACUAAGAGUGCGCAUUUCAUAGCAGCCAAGGAGAAAUGGUCUAUGAAUAAGUGUGCGAAUUCUUACGUGAAUGAAAUUGUGAGGCUUCACGGUGUUCCGGUAACGAUUGUUUCAGAUCGUGACACCCGUUUCACCUCAUGAUUUUGGAAAAGUCUACAAAAGGAAUUGGGUACCAAGUUGUGUUUAAGUAUAGCUUACCAUCCACAGACUGAUGGUCAGAGCGAACGAACGAUACAAACACUUGAAGAUAUGGUGAGAGCAUGUACCCUAGAACUCCAAGGUAAUUGGGAUGAACAUUUACCUUUGGUAGAAUUUUCGUACAAUAAAAGUCCCCUCGAGCAUUAAGAUGGCACCUUAUCAAGCUUUGUACGGACAGAAGUGUCGUAUGCCGUCUUGUUGGCUUGAGGCUGGGGAAAAGCAGUUUAUGGGACCAGAGAUAGUCCAUCAAACUACUGAAAAUUUGAAAAUAAUUAGGGGGAAAAUGUUAGCAGCUCAGGAUCGUCAAAAGAGCUAUGCUGAAAACAAGUGAAGAUCGAUGACUUUUGAAGUUGGAAAUUCGGUUUUGCUUAAAGUCUCUCCAUGGAAGGGACUUAUAAGAUUUUGUAAAAGGGGAAAAUUAAGUCCACGGUUUAUUGGAACGUUUAUAGUGCUUCAGAGGAUUGGGAACCAAACUUACAAGCUCGAACUACUAGAAGAACUGAAUGGAAUUCAUAACACUUUCCAUGUGUGUUAUUUGAGGAAAUUUACGGGAGAAGUUUCCGACAUGAUUCCACUUUCGGAGUUGAGAAUAGAUGAGAACAAAAGGUUGAUUGAAGAACCAGAGGAAAUUGUUAACCGAAAGACUAAGAAGUUGUGACGCAAGAUGGUCGAGUUAGUGCUUGUCCGAUAGAAACACACGAAUGGGCCAAAUCUCACCUGGGAGACGGAGAGUGACAUGAUGAGUCGCUACCCGCAUUUGUUUCUUGAUGUGUGAUACCGGGGACGGAAUCAUUCUAAGGUGGAGAGAAUUGUAACGCCUUUGUUUCUGGGCUUAUCAUUAAUGUUGAUAUAAUAGUCUAGGUUAACCUAUGUAACCCGUUUUGAAAUAAUAGAAGUGUAUUACUUGAGUAUUAUGUGUUUUGUGCUUAAUUAUGUGUCUUAAUUUAAUUAAGAAUAAAAAUAAGCGUCAAAAUGAAAUAUUAGAUAAAGUCGAUAUCUAUGGAUAAUGUUGUAGUAGUUGAAACGAGGUUUCUGAAUAUAUAAAGAAUGCCAAAAUCCGAGUUAUAACGAAGAAGUUAUGACCUGUCGAAGUUUCGCGACAGAACUGACACGACGUGGUAAAAGUGCCACGACGUGGCAGGAGCUCUGGAGUCUGUCAGACCCACUUGCAAUGACGCAAGCAGUGAAGACCCAGCCACCACAAUGUGGUAAACCGUACCACGACGUGGCAAAGGCAAAAUUUUCCCAAUAAAUAGAUUUGAAGGGCCAGCUGAGUUUGGUUGCUCAAAUUCUUUCCCUCCACUCAUAUUACCUCGAUUAACAUGCAAAGAAGUACCCCCGAAGCCCCGAUAUCAUCCCGAGACCCGAAGCAAGUCUCGAAGCUUGAAGAUCCUGUGAAUAAAAGAGUUUCCGAGCCGAAGCUCUGCCCGUAAGAAGCCCGGUGAAUUAAGUGAACCCAGUUUCACCGAAGAAUACUACUCUUAGAGCCAUAGUGCUGUCCGAUCAUCUUCUGAUCAAGUGAGUGUGUAGUUACCUUCUUCUAACGCAUAAUUAUGAAGUAUUUUUUACAAAAUAUGUGUUAUGUGUAUUUUUUUUGUUAUAUGUGUGCAUGUAUAUUCACUUUCUUCUAUCUCAUUGAUAUGAUUUAUUCUCUAUGAAAUACGUGCUAUGUGUAUGUGUCUCAUCUGUUGAUUGGAAUAUCUAUUGAAUGAGAAUGCUCUACAGGUUUUAAACUAUGUAUAAAAAUAUAUAUUCUUAUCUACUAAUAUGUUGGGUAGAACAUGGGUAGAUAGUUGAUGUGUGAUAAACCGAUGAGAGGCCUGGAUGUUGUUGUUGUUGAUCUAGUUAUUCAACGGAGUAUGGAUAACGACCACAUACUCUUUCUAGACAGUCCUGUGGAACGCUAGCAGGCUCAUAACCUGUAGGUUUUGCGAACAAUGUGUUCACUGGUGUACUUUAUCCCCCUCAUGGUUGCCUUUAAGACAUCUACUGUUGAGGAAACCCCUUUGCAGUAAUGUUCGUCCCGAUGAAAAUCCUAGAUUAGGUCCCUUGAGAUAGAUGUUGUUUUAGGGACAUAAAGUGAGGAUAACGGGAAUGAGUAAUCGGGUUAUUGUUGGUUGGUGAAAUUAAAUAUAAUUAUUUAUUAUGGGUUGAAAACCCUAUAUGCUCACCAGGCUCCCAAGCCUCACCCACUCAGUUUUGUUGUAUUACAGGUAGUGGCGCGAGAGCAUAAGUUGGAUGACAUAUCAAGAUCUUUUGAUAUUAGACUAGUUGUUAUAUGUAACUAUUGUAUGGUCUAUCUUUUGUUGUUUAUGCUUUUGGUCUGUUUAUCGGAACUUGAAAUCCCGAAUAUUGUUAUAUAAUGAAAAUGCAUCUCUUGAUGAAAUGCUUUGAUAAAUUUUAUUUAUCAUAUUUUGUUUUGGGAACAAAUUCCGCAACGCUUUUAAUCAAAGGAUUACUCUGAAAUUGUUUUAAAAGCAUUAAUUAAACCGGUCUUUUUUGGCCGUGAUUUUGGGGAUGUCAUAGUUUGUAUCAAAGCAUUAGUUUAAGCGAACUAGGAAUUUGUAGGAAUUCUAGACUUAAACUUAGAAUGCAAAGUGAAGAUUGUGAGAUGAGUGUCUGUUAUAAUUAAGACACGAGCACUAGUAUAUUUUAGGAAGAUGCCUAAAAUGCUUUUAUGUGCUAAAUGUUAUAUGCUGCCAUAGAUGAUAUUAUUUGUUCGGAUCUAUGGUCUGUUGCCGACCGGAUCUUGAAACGUUAUAUGUGUAGGAUUCUAAGCGUAUGACGACGGUAUUAGAACUAGCAUGGAAACGUUUCAGAGUGAUAAGGAUGAUUUAAUUAUCUAUCAUGGAUGAGGAUCUAAUUUCACCUUAUUCGAUGUGUAGAUCAAAAAUGGUAAGAACCAGAAGUGGCGUUGGAAACGUAGAUGAAAACAGUAAUCAACCACCAGUGAUUGAGCAAAUACCUGUUGUAGCAGCAGCACCAGAACCGAUAACAAUGGUUGGGGUGCAAGCCAUGGUUCGGGCUAUGUUAUCCGAACAAAGGGAAGAAAUGCGACAGAUGUUACUUAAAAAUAGGGACGAACCAAUGAUACCUAUUGAGGAACGCCAACUGAUUCCCGAACAAUCGGAGGAAGGAAACAAUAGUUGCAUUAUGAGUCAAGUUGGGACUCAAGGAGAAUGAAGGAACGACUCGGAAAGGAGAAACAACAAGGAUGGGUGAAUGUACAAGAAUUUCUUGGGUGAGAAGCCGCCAAGUCUUUCUGGGAGCCCAAAGCCUGUUGAGAUUAUGGAUUGGAUCUCCGAAAUGGAGAUGGUAUUUGAAAGUUGUGACUAUAGGAACAAACAGAAGACUGUUUUUGCAUUUAGACAACUGAAGACUGGAGUCUUGAGUUGGUAGGAGUUGUUGGCAGAUACUAUGCCACGAGGAGAAGCCCUGAAAAUGUCAUGGGAGGAGUUCUUGGAACAACUAAGGGUGUAGUACUGUUCAGAGAUAGAUCUGAUUGAUCUAAACAAUGAUUUCCAAAACUUGAAGAAGGGGAGAAUGAGCGUAGACGACUAUGCUACUGCAUUCACUAAGAAAAUGAAGUUAUUUCCCUACCUGGUGCCAACGGAACUCUCUAAGAUUGAGAGGUUCGCUAAUAGACUACCUGCCGACUUUGGCCCGACAGUCAAGAUGGCAACCACUUUGAAAACAGUUGUUCGAGCAGCUAAGAAUGUGGAGGCCCAGCAGAAGGAAAUGGGUCUAGAAAGGAUAGACGUUGGUGAGAAAAGGAAGUUCGAUGGACCUUCAGGGUCCAACAAGAAAAGUAAAUUCUCAAAGUCUAGUUCGAGAGGAGGAGGAGGCGAAGCGAAAUGGUGUGACAAAUGUAAGAAGAAGCAUCACGGAAAAUGUGACGUAUUGGCCACAUGCUUCAAAUGUGGAAAGUCAGGGCACUAUACCAACGAAUGCACUCUCACCAAGAAAUUUUAAUAUGGUUGUGGUGAGGAGGGACACAUGUCUAGGGACUGCCCUAAAAAGAAGGAGGCAGCAAGACCCAACAUUCCGUCAAAUCCAAAGGCGAGAGCCUUCCAGAUGACACUGGAAGCUGCUAAAGAUGAAGCUGAUGUCGCUUCAGGUACCUUUCUUGUUAACAAAUUGCCUUGCCAAAUUUUAUUUGAUUUUGGAGCCAACUACGCCUUUAUUUCGCAUGAAUUUGGUAGAAAAAUAGCUUUGCCUGUCGAUAGACUAGAUAAUGCUUUAUUAGUCGAAGUUGCUAGUGGCAAGUUUGUACCUGUUAGCCAUCGUAUGAAAAACAUCUUAAUUGAUUUGAAUGAGAAUAUGUUUCACGAGGAAUUAUUGCCUAUCGAACUUAACAGUUUCGACACCGUGCUUGGAAUGGAUUCGCUUAGCGCCAAUGACGCCGAGAUAUUGUGCAAGAAGAAGAUAGUCAAAGUAAACCCGCCUAGGAAAGAGUCGUUUAUGGUGUAUGGAGAUAAACGCAUAGUAAAUUCUGGAAUCAUUUCAUUGAUGAAAGCCAGAAAGUGUUUGGCCAAAGGAUGUACAUCGUAUCUAGCAUUCGUGAUCGAUGCUAAGAAGGAGAAAAAGGAGAUGCAGAGCAUUCCUAUCGUGUGUGAUUAUCCGGAAGUAUUUCCCGAAGAUCUUCCCGGAUUAUCGCUUGAUAGACAAGUGGAGUUUAGAAUAGACUUGUUACCCAGGACGACGCCAAUAGCAAAAGCACCUUAUCGAUUAGCACCAACGGAGAUGAAGGAGCUAAUGAUGCAACUUCAGGAGUUAUUGGACAAAGGUUUCAUUAGACCUAGUUCAUCGCCCUGGGGAGCUCCGGUGUUAUUCGUGAAGAAGAAAGAUGGAAGUAUGAGAAUGUGCAUCGAUUACAGAGAGCUGAACAAGGCAACAAUAAAGAAUAGAUAUUUGUUGCCGAGGAUUGAUGACCUGUUCGAUCAACUACAAGGUUCGGGCAAUUUAUCGAAGAUCGAUCUUAGGUCAGGUUAUCAUCAGCUGAAAGUAAGAGAGCAGGAUAUAGAGAAGACUGCAUUAAGAACACGAUAUGGACACUAUGGGUUUUUGGUUAUGUCGUUUGGACUAACCAAUGCUCCUGCAGCAUUCAGGGAUUUAAUAAACAGGCUUUGCAAUCCGUUCCUUGAUAAAUCUGUGACAGUCUUCAUAGAUGGCAUUCUGAUUUAUUCAAAAAGCCAAGAGGAGCAUGGCAGACACUUGCGAGAAGUGUUAGAAGUCUUGAAGAAGGAGAAGUUGUAUGCAAAGUUCUCUAAAUGUGAUUUUUGGAUUCGAGAAGUCCAAUUAUUGGGUCACGUGGUGAACCAAGAAGGGAUAAUGGUUGAUCCAGCAAAGAUUGAAGCUGUAAUGAAGUGGGAACAACCGAAAAGUCCCACGGAGAUUCGAAGCUUUUUAGGAUUAGCCGGAUAUUACCGAAGGUUUAUCCAAGGCUUUUCUUCGAUUGCUACUCCAUUAACAGCUUUGACCCACAAAGGAGCUGCUUAUGCUUGGAGUGAUAAGCAUAGAGAAGCAUUCGGGUUGCUAAAGAAGAAGCUAUGUGAGGCACUGAUUUUAUCUCUACCCGAUGGGGUUGAAGACUUCGCUAUUUAUAGCAAUGCGUCUGGGGUUGGAUUGGGUUGUCUUUUGACCCAAAGAGAUAAGGUGAUCGCGUAUGCAUAUCGACAACUGAAAGAGCAUGAAAGGAACUACCCCACUCAUGACUUGGAGUUGGCGGCGGUAGUUUUCACUCUAAAGAUAUGGAGGCAUUACCUCUAUGGCACGAAGUGCAAUCUUUUCACUGAUCAUAAGAGUCUCCAAUACCUCUUUAAUCAGAAAGAAUUGAAUAUGAGGCAACGACGCUGGCUAGAAUUACUUAAAGACUAUGACUGCGAGAUACUUUACCACCCCGGUAAAGCUAAUGUUGUUGCUGAUGCUCUCAGUCGGAAAGUCAAUCCCGAAAGGAAAAGGCCAAGAGCGUUGAGAAUUGAAGUUGUCUCAACUAUUUUGGAAAGUAUAAAGAAAGCUCAGAGCGAAGCUUCUGAGAAGAAUGACAGAAAGGAGGAACGUUUGGGCAAAACGUUGGUGUUCGGUGUAAACAGUCAUGGACUGAAGGUGUUCCAAGAUCGGAUUUGGAUACCUAAGACAGGAGGAGUCAGAGAUCUUCUGAUGGAAGAAGCUCACAAGACCAUGUACUCGAUUCAUCCGGGUAGCACUAAAAUGUAUAGGGACCUGAAACCCUACUACUGGUGGCCGACGAUGAAGCUUGAUGUUGCAAAGUAUGUGGCCGAGUGUGUGACUUGUGCGAGAGUCAAGACACAACAUCA
rnacentral:lncRNA from 1 species